rnacentral:rRNA from 1 species
CGGGAGGCAGCAGUGGGGAAUAUUGGACAAUGGGCGCAAGCCUGAUCCAGCCAUACCGCGUGUGUGAAGAAGGCCUUCGGGUUGUAAAGCACUUUAAGCAGGGAGAAAAAGUUAUAGGUUAAUACCCUAUGACCUUGAUGUUACCUGCAGAAUAAGCACCGGCUAAUUCCGUGCCAGCAGCCGCGGUAAUACGGAAGGUGCAAGCGUUAAUCGGAAUUACUGGGCGUAAAGCGCGCGUAGGUGGUUUGUUAAGUUGGAUGUGAAAGCCCUGGGCUCAACCUAGGAACUGCAUCCAAAACUAACUCACUAGAGUACGAUAGAGGGAGGUAGAAUUCAUAGUGUAGCGGUGGAAUGCGUAGAUAUUAUGAAGAAUACCAGUGGCGAAGGCGGCCUCCUGGAUCUGUACUGACACUGAGGUGCGAAAGCGUGGGUAGCGAACAGGAUUAGAUACCCUGGUAGUCCACGCCGUAAACGAUGACAACUAGCUGUUGGGAGACUAUGUCUUUCAGUGGCGCAGCUAACGCUUUAAGUUGUCCGCCUGGGGAGUACGGCCGCAAGGCUAAAACUCAAAUGAAUUGACGGGGACCCGCACAAGCGGUGGAGCAUGUGGUUUAAUUCGAUGCAACGCGAAAAACCUUACCUACUCUUGACAUACUUGGAGGCUCUUGUAAUGAGAGCGUGCCUUUUGGAACCAAGAUACAGGUGCUGCAUG